GAUGUGUGUGUGCGUGCGUGUGUGAGUGUGUGUGCGCGCGCCCCGGGGGCAGGGAGGCGGGGGGCUGCGGCGGGCGGCGGAGCGCGGGGGCUGGUUCCUGGUCCCCGGGAGAAGCCAAGAAGAUCUCGUCCCGGAUGAGAUUCAGCGGUUCCCCACUCUAGGUGACCUUGGGCAAAGCCCCUCUCCUCUCAUUACGGAACGCAUGCUCUGUGCCAGACACUGUGUUUAAAACCCUGGGAUUACCACCACGAGAGAUAGAAUGGCAGCUUGGCUUGGAUGAUGGCCCAAGCCAUCAGAUCAGGAGAACCUAAAAGAAACACUGAACCACACCGAUUCCCUGCAGCCUGCCAGGGACGUGGUAGCUGCCCUGCCAAGAGCUAUCCUGGGAGGGCUAUUGAAAGAGCUUUGAGCACUUGAGCGGCUCUGCACCCAGCAUUUGGAUGGAGAAAGGGAUAGGCGAGAAAGGCAAGUGUCUACCCACAGAAGAGAAUUCAGGAAUGCUUGCAGCAAGAGUCCUGGUUGCCAUGCAGUGGCAUUCGAAACGACCACAACUCUGCAUUCCAUCUUUGAUAAAAAUAAGUUGCUACUUCUAAACAAAACUGCCUGGUUGGUUUCUAGCCAAGCUGGGACCUCGAACUGCAAAUCGCCGGUGAAGGUGGAAAAACAGAAACUUUUCAGCAUUGGCUCAUAGCAGGGUGUAAUGCUUUCUGCUUCCCCCCAGCCCUUUGGAAAACUUGACCACAGCCAGUGGGACCAAGGGAAUGUGCACUUUUCUAAUGGGCCCCAAAAGAGGAUGGUUGCCAGGAAAGCCUUUCCCAUGGGGCGGGGGCAGGGCACCGGGGACAGCU